GUAGCGUCAUGUGGGCGUAGUUUGAGGGGGCGUCUUCUGUAGCGGCUGUGCCUUGGCUCCGGCUGCAGUCAGACCCUUCUCGGCGCGCAGGCAGAGAAGCAAUAAACCAGGAAGAAAAAGAAGAAGAAGAAGGCAAUGUGCACCAAUAAACCAGGAAGCAGUCAUCUCAGGAAAAGUUGCAUCCUCCUGGGCAUCAUCAAAGGGCAGAGUCAGAAUUUUCUUUAAGAAGGAUGAGCAGCUGGACAGAGUGCUGGGCUUCUUGACAAGCCUGGUUGAAACACAGGCAACCCAUGUCACAAUCAAGUGGCAUUUGUUUUGGAUGUGCUUCUGCCAGAGGCAACAGUCCACUCCCUUGCAGCUGUCUGUGCAGUUUCCCUCCACAGAGCCACAGAAAUCUAUAAAUGUGGACUGCAGUAUGACUUGAAUGAGAAACAGCUGUUGGCUCAUUACAUGGCAAAAAACAUGAGCAAAGAGGCACAAAGGAAAACAAAAAACUGCGCUGAACAACUACAAAGAGCUCUGGAGUCCGAGGACUUUUUUGAAGAGGCUGUAGCUGGCCAGACAUUAAAUGCACCUGUGUAACCCUGUGUGGUACUUUAUUGGCAAUAAAACAAUAAAAGCUUUUAUUGUCUGAUUCA